UCAUCAUUGUUUUUCUGCCUGACACAGUCUAAUCAUUCUGGCUUGCAGACCUCUCACUUACGUAAUAACAAGUGCCUGUAGCAGAAAAGGCAUCACUAGGAUAUAUAGUCUACUUGAGCACUAGUUAAGGCAUAGUAAAAUUGAUGACCAGAGUGCCAUUUAAAAUUCUUUACUCUUCAGUACUCUUACACUCAAUGAACCAGGGUAGUUCCCAGAUCUUCAGUGUUCUUCUGGCACACAAUAAGCUAUUUUAAGUACAUGAAUGCUGCUUGUCUUUUGGAUGUAUUAACUGUGUUGCGUGAUGGUGGACUGUCU